UACGUAGGGGGCUAGCGUUGUCCGGAUUUAUUGGGCGUAAAGAGCGUGUAGGCGGCCAGGUAGGUCUGCUGUGAAAACUCGAGGCUCAACCUCGAGACGUCGGCGGAAACCAUCUGGCUAGAGUCCGGAAGAGGAGAGUGGAAUUCCUGGUGUAGCGGUGAAAUGCGCAGAUAUCAGGAGGAACACCGGUGGCGAAGGCGGGUCUCUGGGCCUUACCUGACGCUGAGGCGCGAAAGCUAGGGGAGCGAACAGG
rnacentral:rRNA from 1 species